AAGGAUAAAUGCCCCACUUUUAAAGGGACACAUCUAGUGCUGAGAAUCUGGCAGGGGGUGAUGAGGAAGACAAAACGGGGAGGCCACGCGGAGCAUGAGAACCUUCAAGAUACGCCAGAGAGCAUUUAACCAGUCUUUUCUGGACCAUGUAUUGAGUGCUUACGAUGUGCCGGACCCCGUGAUGGGUGCUGAAUGCAGCGUAGACCCCGUCCUCAGGGAGCUCAAAUGGGAGAAAAUAGACAGAAUGAAGCCGCCAUGAGAUAGUGACUUUAUUUUCUUCACUGCUAUGUCCCCAGCACCUAAAACAUUGCCAGGUGCAUACGAAGCACUUGAUACAUGUUUGUUGACUGAAUAGAUGAAUUGGUAAUUGUGACUGAUGCCAAAUGGA